ensembl:lncRNA
UCUAUUGUGGGGUUGUCUGUUGUCAUUGUUGUCUCUGCUGUUGUACUUUCUGGUGUUGUGGUACCGGAGGUUGUACUUUCUGUUGUUGUCUCAGCUGUGGUGCUUUCAGUUGUUGUUGAAGUUUCUGCUGUUGUACUUUCUAAAGUUGUGGUACCAAUGGUGGUGCUUUCUGUUGUUGUAGUAUCGAUUGUGGUGCUGUCUGUUGUUAUUGUUGUCUCUGCUGUUGUAGUUUCUGGUGUUGUGGCAACGGAGGUUGUACUUUCUGUUGUUGUCUCAGUUGUGGUGCUUUCAGUUGUUGUUGAAGUUUCUGCUGUUGUACUUUCUAAAGUUGUGGUACCGAUGGUGGUGCUUUCUGUUGUUGUAGUAUCGAUUGUGGUGCUUUCUCUUGUUAUUGUUGUCUCUGCUAUUGUACUUUCUGGUGUUGUGGUACCAGUGGUUGUACUUUCUGUUGUUGUAGAAUCCAUUGUGGUGCUGUCUGUUGUUAUU